CUCAUUUUCCUUUUCCCCCAAAUCGCCUCCCGAUCCACACACAUAUGAAGAUCUUCUCUACACUUCACUCUGAUCUACCGUCGCUGGUUUGACGCUCGUGUUCUCUGAGUUAUGGCCAGCGUAAAUCUUCCUCGCCGCAUUAUAGUUCUCACGAAAUCGAACGGAUUAAGUUAUUGAACAACGAGGUGCUGCAGAGGUGGACUUAUAACUGUUUGAAGAUCGUAUAUUAGAUAUUUUCUCUUUCUGUGGUUUGCUCUGCCCGGCUGGCCCUUUCUUGAUUGGGGUUGUAGCAAAUAAUAUUGUUAUUAAGGUGAUACCCUAGCCAUUGUUAAGGUGUAUGCUAUAGCUGUAAUGGUCCCGGAGACCGCACUUAUCCUCCCAACUAAUGCUGGAGCGAAAAUUCUCGGUGAUGUACUCGACGGAGAUAAUAUCGAGUGGAUUUACCAGGAUUUGGUUCGCCGCCCGUGAUUGCAGCCUCCAUGAGUCUGCACUCGACUAGCUGGGUCAUUCAUAGUAGUGUUUAUGAGUUGCCCUUAAGAUCGUACUUCUGUAUGAUAUCAGAUUUAUCUAUUUAUGUUUACUUUUUGGUUUUUCGUAUCGUUAUUUAGUAGGUUGUUAUGUUGGUGUACGAAUUGGUGUUUUGUUGGGAUGUUUUGUUAGCACCGUUGACGACUAAUAUUUUAUUUUUGGCUGGACUAUGAACAUCAUUGUAUUGAUGACCAUGUGUAG